CAAAGGAGGAGAUGUCCCUGCAGCAUCCAUCGCAGGGUGAGCACAGCUGAAUGGGAAGAUUGUUCCACUCUCCUUUUCACCUCUUGUUGAUUGUGCCCGAGCAUCUUCUGCAAAACCGGGACAAUGCAGCUGUGUCCAUCGCUACUGUAAUCCAUUCUAAGGUUUACCAUGUGUGUAACGAGGCCUUCAUAAUAAAAUUCAGUCAUAAUUACUACCAGUGUCAGGGGAACCAUAUACAGCUGUAUAAGCAAAUGAAAGAAUUGGUCCCUUAAUACGUAUUUAAUAGGCUGUAAAAUAGCCUCGCACAACCCGGUAUUAGAGUUUGUCUACUUUCACUCUCUUCAACUCAAGUACAAUAGGCUAAGACAGCCCCUCGAAACAGCUACUACCCACUGCUCCUACAGACCCAGAAUCAAGUUAAUGGCUACAGACAGCGUUUACUCCGAAGGUAAAAGGAAUGCCAAGGCAGAGCAUGAUGCUGGAUAUGACUCUCCUCUCCCAGGCAACAUUUGAGGUAUCAGGAAUGAGCCUUUACUGCAACCUACAUUGCUGAGUGCAAUUCUUCUUGAUCACGGAAGAAGAAUAUACAGCUAAAGGAACUUUGGUUUUGGAAACACCUCCACCUCUCAGAACUAUUCAGAUCCACAUAAAACCCUUUAGGCUCUAGCCAAAUUUGUCAUUAUUUUGACAGCAGAUGUAGGAUCUCAAUACACAAUUUUCAAGUGCCA